GGGUUGUGAGGUUAAGCGACUAAGCGUACACGGUGGAUGCCCUGGCAGUCAGAGGCGAUGAAGGACGUGCUAAUCUGCGAUAAGCGUCGGUAAGGUGAUAUGAACCGUUAUAACCGGCGAUUUCCGAAUGGGGAAACCCAGUGUGUUUCGACACACUAUCAUUAACUGAAUCCAUAGGUUAAUGAGGCGAACCGGGGGAACUGAAACAUCUAAGUACCCCGAGGAAAAGAAAUCAACCGAGAUUCCCCCAGUAGCGGCGAGCGAACGGGGAGGAGCCCAGAGCCUGAAUCAGUGUGUGUGUUAGUGGAAGCGUCUGGAAAGGCGCGCGAUACAGGGUGACAGCCCCGUACACAAAAAUGCACAUGCUGUGAGCUCGAUGAGUAGGGCGGGACACGUGGUAUCCUGUCUGAAUAUGGGGGGACCAUCCUCCAAGGCUAAAUACUCCUGACUGACCGAUAGUGAACCAGUACCGUGAGGGAAAGGCGAAAAGAACCCCGGCGAGGGGAGUGAAAAAGAACCUGAAACCGUGUACGUACAAGCAGUGGGAGCCUCUUAAUGGGGUGACUGCGUACCUUUUGUAUAAUGGGUCAGCGACUUAUAUUCUGUAGCAAGGUUAACCGAAUAGGGGAGCCGAAGGGAAACCGAGUCUUAACUGGGCGUUAAGUUGCAGGGUAUAGACCCGAAACCCGGUGAUCUAGCCAUGGGCAGGUUGAAGGUUGGGUAACACUAACUGGAGGACCGAACCGACUAAUGUUGAAAAAUUAGCGGAUGACUUGUGGCUGGGGGUGAAAGGCCAAUCAAACCGGGAGAUAGCUGGUUCUCCCCGAAAGCUAUUUAGGUAGCGCCUCGUGAAUUCAUCUCCGGGGGUAGAGCACUGUUUCGGCAAGGGGGUCAUCCCGACUUACCAACCCGAUGCAAACUGCGAAUACCGGAGAAUGUUAUCACGGGAGACACACGGCGGGUGCUAACGUCCGUCGUGAAGAGGGAAACAACCCAGACCGCCAGCUAAGGUCCCAAAGUCAUGGUUAAGUGGGAAACGAUGUGGGAAGGCCCAGACAGCCAGGAUGUUGGCUUAGAAGCAGCCAUCAUUUAAAGAAAGCGUAAUAGCUCACUGGUCGAGUCGGCCUGCGCGGAAGAUGUAACGGGGCUAAACCAUGCACCGAAGCUGCGGCAGCGACGUUUAUGCGUUGUUGGGUAGGGGAGCGUUCUGUAAGCCUGCGAAGGUGUACUGUGAGGUAUGCUGGAGGUAUCAGAAGUGCGAAUGCUGACAUAAGUAACGAUAAAGCGGGUGAAAAGCCCGCUCGCCGGAAGACCAAGGGUUCCUGUCCAACGUUAAUCGGGGCAGGGUGAGUCGACCCCUAAGGCGAGGCCGAAAGGCGUAGUCGAUGGGAAACAGGUUAAUAUUCCUGUACUUGGUGUUACUGCGAAGGGGGGACGGAGAAGGCUAUGUUGGCCGGGCGACGGUUGUCCCGGUUUAAGCGUGUAGGCUGGUUUUCCAGGCAAAUCCGGAAAAUCAAGGCUGAGGCGUGAUGACGAGGCACUACGGUGCUGAAGCAACAAAUGCCCUGCUUCCAGGAAAAGCCUCUAAGCAUCAGGUAACAUCAAAUCGUACCCCAAACCGACACAGGUGGUCAGGUAGAGAAUACCAAGGCGCUUGAGAGAACUCGGGUGAAGGAACUAGGCAAAAUGGUGCCGUAACUUCGGGAGAAGGCACGCUGAUAUGUAGGUGAAGUCCCUCGCGGAUGGAGCUGAAAUCAGUCGAAGAUACCAGCUGGCUGCAACUGUUUAUUAAAAACACAGCACUGUGCAAACACGAAAGUGGACGUAUACGGUGUGACGCCUGCCCGGUGCCGGAAGGUUAAUUGAUGGGGUUAGCGGUAACGCGAAGCUCUUGAUCGAAGCCCCGGUAAACGGCGGCCGUAACUAUAACGGUCCUAAGGUAGCGAAAUUCCUUGUCGGGUAAGUUCCGACCUGCACGAAUGGCGUAAUGAUGGCCAGGCUGUCUCCACCCGAGACUCAGUGAAAUUGAACUCGCUGUGAAGAUGCAGUGUACCCGCGGCAAGACGGAAAGACCCCGUGAACCUUUACUAUAGCUUGACACUGAACAUUGAGCCUUGAUGUGUAGGAUAGGUGGGAGGCUUUGAAGUGUGGACGCCAGUCUGCAUGGAGCCGACCUUGAAAUACCACCCUUUAAUGUUUGAUGUUCUAACGUUGGCCCCUUACCGGGGUUGCGGACAGUGUCUGGUGGGUAGUUUGACUGGGGCGGUCUCCUCCUAAAGAGUAACGGAGGAGCACGAAGGUUGGCUAAUCCUGGUCGGACAUCAGGAGGUUAGUGCAAUGGCAUAAGCCAGCUUGACUGCGAGCGUGACGGCGCGAGCAGGUGCGAAAGCAGGUCAUAGUGAUCCGGUGGUUCUGAAUGGAAGGGCCAUCGCUCAACGGAUAAAAGGUACUCCGGGGAUAACAGGCUGAUACCGCCCAAGAGUUCAUAUCGACGGCGGUGUUUGGCACCUCGAUGUCGGCUCAUCACAUCCUGGGGCUGAAGUAGGUCCCAAGGGUAUGGCUGUUCGCCAUUUAAAGUGGUACGCGAGCUGGGUUUAGAACGUCGUGAGACAGUUCGGUCCCUAUCUGCCGUGGGCGCUGGAGAACUGAGGGGGGCUGCUCCUAGUACGAGAGGACCGGAGUGGACGCAUCACUGGUGUUCGGGUUGUCAUGCCAAUGGCACUGCCCGGUAGCUAAAUGCGGAAGAGAUAAGUGCUGAAAGCAUCUAAGCACGAAACUUGCCCCGAGAUGAGUUCUCCCUGACUCCUUGAGAGUCCUGAAGGAACGUUGAAGACGACGACGUUGAUAGGCCGGGUGUGUAAGCGCAGCGAUGCGUUGAGCUAACCGGUACUAAUGAACCGUGAGGCUUAACCUUACAACGCCGAAG
rnacentral:rRNA from 1 species